rnacentral:rRNA from 2 species
GUUGUAUGGUUAAGUGACUAAGCGUACAUGGUGGAUGCCUUGGCAGUCAGAGGCGAUGAAGGACGUACUAACCUGCGAUAAGCUGUGAGAAGUCGGUAAGAGACGCUAUUACUCACAGAUUUCCGAAUGGGGAAACCCACCCGAGAUAACUCGGGUAUCUGUUACUGAAUACAUAGGUAACAGAGGCGAACCGGGAGAACUGAAACAUCUAAGUACCCCGAGGAAAAGAAAUCAACCGAGAUUCCCUCAGUAGCGGCGAGCGAACGGGGAUUAGCCCUUAAGCAUCUUGGAAGUUAGUGGAACGGUCCUGGAAAGGCCGGCGAUACAGGGUGAUAGCCCCGUACACGAAAACAACCUUGAUGUGAAAUCGAGUAGGGCGGGACACGUGACAUCCUGUCUGAAUAUGGGGGGACCAUCCUCCAAGGCUAAAUACUCCUGACUGACCGAUAGUGAACCAGUACCGUGAGGGAAAGGCGAAAAGAACCCCUGUGAGGGGAGUGAAAUAGAACCUGAAACCGUGUACGUACAAGCAGUGGGAGCCCUUCGGGGUGACUGCGUACCUUUUGUAUAAUGGGUCAGCGACUUACAUUUUGUAGCGAGGUUAACCGUAUAGGGGAGCCGUAGGGAAACCGAGUCUUAACUGGGCGUCUAGUUGCAAGGUGUAGACCCGAAACCGGGUGAUCUAGCCAUGGGCAGGUUGAAGGUUGAGUAACAUCAACUGGAGGACCGAACCCACUAACGUUGCAAAGUUAGGGGAUGACCUGUGGCUGGGGGUGAAAGGCCAAUCAAACUCGGAGAUAGCUGGUUCUCCCCGAAAGCUAUUUAGGUAGCGCCUCGGACGAAUACUACUGGGGGUAGAGCACUGUUUGGGCUAGGGGGUCAUCCCGACUUACCAACCCCAUGCAAACUCCGAAUACCAGUAAGUAAUAUCCGGGAGACACACGGCGGGUGCUAACGUCCGUCGUGAAGAGGGAAACAACCCAGACCGCCGGCUAAGGUCCCAAAGUUCUGGUUAAGUGGGAAACGAUGUGGGAAGGCUCAGACAGCUAGGAUGUUGGCUUAGAAGCAGCCAUCAUUUAAAGAAAGCGUAAUAGCUCACUAGUCGAGUCGGCCUGCGCGGAAGAUGUAACGGGGCUCAAACCAGGCACCGAAGCCGCGGAUUCACACUUAUGUGUGAGUGGUAGGGGAGCGUUCUGUAAGUCUGCGAAGGUGUAUCGAGAGGUAUGCUGGAGAUAUCAGAAGUGCGAAUGCUGACGUAAGUAACGAUAAAGGGGGUGAAAAGCCUCCUCGCCGGAAGACCAAGGGUUCCUGUCCAACGUUAAUCGGGGCAGGGUGAGUCGACCCCUAAGGCGAGGCCGAAAGGCGUAGUCGAUGGGAAGCAGGUUAAUAUUCCUGCACGACUUGUAAUUGCGAUGGGGGGACGGAGAAGGCUAGGUGGGCCAGGCGACGGUUGUCCUGGUGAAAGUGCGUAGGUGGUGUUUCUAGGCAAAUCCGGAGACACAACACUGAGACACGAGACGAACACACUACGGUGUGGAAGCCAUUGAUGCCCUGCUUCCAGGAAAAGCCUCUAAGCUUCAGAUUACAAGUCAUCGUACCCCAAACCGACACAGGUGGUCGGGUAGAGAAUACCAAGGCGCUUGAGAGAACUCGGGUGAAGGAACUAGGCAAAAUAGAACCGUAACUUCGGGAGAAGGUUCGCUCUUGACAGUGAAGUCCCUUGCGGAUGGAGCAGUUGGGAGUCGCAGUGACCAGAUGGCUGGGACUGUUUAUCAAAAACACAGCACUCUGCAAACACGAAAGUGGACGUAUAGGGUGUGACACCUGCCCGGUGCCGGAAGGUUAAUUGAUGGGGUUAGCGCAAGCGAAGCUCUUGAUCGAAGCCCCGGUAAACGGCGGCCGUAACUAUAACGGUCCUAAGGUAGCGAAAUUCCUUGUCGGGUAAGUUCCGACCUGCACGAAUGGUGUAACCAUGGCCAUGCUGUCUCCACCCGAGACUCAGUGAAAUCGAAUUCGCCGUGAAGAUGCGGUGUACCCGCGGCUAGACGGAAAGACCCCGUGAACCUUUACUACAGCUUGGCACUGAACAUUGAACCUACAUGUGUAGGAUAGGUGGGAGGCUUUGAAGGCGUGACGCCAGUUGCGCUGGAGCCGUCCUUGAAAUACCACCCUUGUAUGUUUGAUGUUCUAACGCAGGGCCCUGAAUCGGGCUCGCGGACAGUGCCUGGUGGGUAGUUUGACUGGGGCGGUCUCCUCCCAAAGAGUAACGGAGGAGCACGAAGGUUGGCUAAUCCUGGUCGGACAUCAGGAGGUUAGUGCAAUGGCAUAAGCCAGCUUAACUGCGAGACGGACAGGUCGAGCAGGUACGAAAGUAGGUCAUAGUGAUCCGGUGGUUCUGAAUGGAAGGGCCAUCGCUCAACGGAUAAAAGGUACUCCGGGGAUAACAGGCUGAUACCGCCCAAGAGUUCAUAUCGACGGCGGUGUUUGGCACCUCGAUGUCGGCUCAUCACAUCCUGGGGCUGAAGUCGGUCCCAAGGGUAUGGCUGUUCGCCAUUUAAAGUGGUACGCGAGCUGGGUUCAGAACGUCGUGAGACAGUUCGGUCCCUAUCUGCCGUGGGCGUUGGAUGAUUGAAGGGAGUUGCUCCUAGUACGAGAGGACCGGAGUGAACGAACCUCUGGUGUUCGGGUUGUCACGCCAGUGGCACUGCCCGGUAGCUAAGUUCGGAAUCGAUAACCGCUGAAAGCAUCUAAGCGGGAAGCGAGCCCUGAGAUGAGUCAUCCCUGACCCCUUGAGGGUCCUAAAGGGCCGUUGGAGACCACAACGUUGAUAGGUGGGGUGUGUAAGCGCGGCGACGUGUUGAGCUAACCCAUACUAAUUACCCGUGAGGCUUAACCAUACAACACCCAAGAAGUGUUCUG